UACAGAGGUGGCAAGCGUUGUUCGGAAUUACUGGGCGUAAAGGGCGCGUAGGCGGCCAUCUAAGUCAGACGUGAAAUCCCCCGGCUUAACCUGGGAACUGCGUCUGAUACUGGACGGCUUGAGUAUGGGAGAGGGAUGUAGAAUUCCAGGUGUAGCGGUGAAAUGCGUAGAUAUCUGGAGGAAUACUGGUGGCGAAGGCGGCAUCCUGGGCCAUUACUGACGCUGAGGCGCGAAAGCUAGGGGAGCAAACGGG
rnacentral:rRNA from 1 species